rnacentral:rRNA from 1 species
UACGUAGGGUGCGAGCGUUAAUCGGAAUUACUGGGCGUAAAGCGUGCGCAGGCGGUUCGUUAUGUCCGAUGUGAAAGCCCCGAGCUUAACUUGGGAAUGGCAUUGGAAACUGGCGGGCUGGAGUGCGGCAGAGGGGGGUGGAAUUCCACGUGUAGCAGUGAAAUGCGUAGAGAUGUGGAGGAACACCAGCGGCGAAGGCGGCGCUCUGGGCCGGUACUGACGCUGAGGUGCGAAAGCGUGGGGAGCAAACAGG